ACGAACGCUGGCGGCGUGCCUAACACAUGCAAGUCGAACGGGACCGGGGGCAACUCCGGUUCAGUGGCGGACGGGUGCGUAACACGUGAGGAACAUGACUUUCGGCGGGGGAUAGCCGGCCCAACGGCCGGGUAAUACCGCGUACGACCCAAGGGAGACAUCUCCGCUGGGUGAAAGCAGCAAUGCACCGAAAGAGUGCCUCGCGGCCUAUCAGCUAGUUGGUGAGGUAACGGCUCACCAAGGCGACGACGGGUAGCUGGUCUGAGAGGAUGGCCAGCCACAUUGGGACUGAGACACGGCCCAGACUCCUACGGGAGGCAGCAGUGGGGAAUAUUGCGCAAUGGGCGAAAGCCUGACGCAGCGACGCCGCGUGUGGGAUGACGGCCUUCGGGUUGUAAACCACUGUCGGGAGGGACGAAUGCGCCGCAAGGCGAGUGACGGUACCUCCAAAGGAAGCACCGGCUAACUCCGU
rnacentral:rRNA from 1 species